rnacentral:rRNA from 1 species
AUGGCCAAACAGAUGGGCGAGUUGAAAAAUUCCACUACCGCAAAAUCCAAGAAUAGCAAAGGGGUUCACUUGGAGGUUUCUUUUGAAGCAGUUGACCCUCCAGCCAUCUCACUGUGCCUAGUCAGCUGCGUUGAUCAGACCGGGGAUCGCUUGGCAGCACAGCCUCGUAUACUUGGUGUAACUGGAGGCUUUGUACUGCUGGCUAUCACCUUCUCGGACAGUGUCAACUGUUACUUGCGGUUCAUCGACUAUUUUGUUUACAAAGCAGGGCCCGAUUUCGCCUCUCUUCAUCUUAUUGCAAGGCCAUAG